CUCGAAAUUUAUGGGAGGUCUAGCCUGCCCACUGAAGGAUAUAAAGGGCCGCGGUAUUUUGACCGUGCAAAGGUAGCAUAAUCAUUAGUCUUCUAAUUAAAGGCUGGAAUGAAUGGCUGGACGAGGUAUUAGCUGUCUCUUAGGGAUGAAUUUGAAUUUAACCUUCUAGUGAAAAGGCUGGAAUACAAUUGGAGGACGAGAAGACCCUAUAGAGCUUUACAUUUUCUUCUAUCUUAAUUCAUUUAGUUGGUGUUAAUUUUUGUAGUUGAGAUGUUUCGUUGGGGUGACGGGAAGAUAAGAUGAACUCUUCUUUAAAUAAACCACUAAUGAGUGACCUAAUUGAUCCAUUUUUAAUGAUUAWAAGACUAAGUUACCUUAGGGAUAACAGCGUAAUCUUUUUUGAGAGUUCUAAUCGACAAAAAGGGUUGCGACCUCGAUGUUGGACUAAGGAUUAUUCUUGGGUGUAGAAGUUCAAGGUUUAGGUCUGUUCGACCUUUGAAUCCUUA
rnacentral:rRNA from 1 species